rfam:Citrus clementina cultivar Clemenules unplaced genomic scaffold scaffold_9, whole genome shotgun sequence.
GGGUGCGAUUAUACCAGUACUAAUGGAUCAAAUUUUAUCGUAACUCUGCAGUUAAGCGUGUUUGAAUGAAAAUAGUAUUAAAAUGGGUGACCUCUCGACCAUAUUAUGCUACUUUACUAU